UGGGGAAUUUUGGACAAUGGGGGCAACCCUGAUCCAGCCAUGCCGCGUGAGUGAAGAAGGCCUUCGGGUUGUAAAGCUCUUUCGGACGGAACGAAAUGGUUACGGAUAAUACCUGUGACUGAUGACGGUACUGUAAGAAGAAGCACCGGCUAACUACGUGCCAGCAGCCGCGGUAAUACGAAGGGGGCUAGCGUUGUUCGGAUUUACUGGGCGUAAAGCGCGUGUAGGCGGGUCGUUAAGUUGGGGGUGAAAUCCCGAGGCUCAACCUCGGAACUGCCUUCAAAACUGGCGACCUGGACCUAAGUAGAGGCAAGUGGAAUUGCGAGUGUAGAGGUGAAAUUCGUAGAUAUUCGCAGGAACACCAGUGGCGAAGGCGACUUGCUGGACUUAUGGUGACGCUGAGACGCGAAAGCGUGGGGAGCAAACAGGAUUAGAUACCCCCGUAGUCCCUGAGCGGGCUGGCAAGGCGCAU
rnacentral:rRNA from 1 species